AUCAUCUGUUGUAGUACUAUCAUGAUAGGCUCUCCACCUCCUACUCCUACUCAAUACGUCACCGUCGUAAGAACGGUAACAUGUCUCUCAUUUAUCCAAGCUUGGGUAUACCAGGAAAUCCAACCCCUUGAAUGGAUGGGUUGCAUGGUUAAAUUAAGAGGA
rnacentral:ribozyme from 1 species